rnacentral:rRNA from 1 species
UACGAAGGGGGCUAGCGUUGUUCGGAAUCACUGGGCGUAAAGCGCACGCAGGCGGAUUGAUAAGUCAGGGGUGAAAUCCCGGAGCUCAACUUCGGAAUUGCCUUUGAUACUGUCAAUCUCGAGUCCGGGAGAGGUGAGUGGAAUUCCUAGUGUAGAGGUGAAAUUCGUAGAUAUUCGCAAGAACACCAGUGGCGAAGGCGGCUCACUGGCCCGGUACUGACGUUGAGGUGCGAAAGCGUGGGGAGCAAACAGG